rnacentral:misc_RNA from 1 species
GAUGAAGAACGCAGCGAAAUGCGAUAAGUAAUGUGAAUUGCAGAAUUCAGUGAAUCAUCGAAUCUUUGAACGCACCUUGCGCUCUUUGGUAUUCCGAAGAGCAUGCCUGUUUGAGUGUCAUGAAAAUAUCAACCUUGACUUGGGUUUUGUGCUCUAGUCUCGGCUUGGAAUUGGGUGCUUGCCGCUUUUACGAGCGGCUCACCUUAAAUGUAUUAGCUGGAUCUGUCUUUGAGACUUGGUUUGACUUGGCGUAAUAAGUAUUUCGCUAAGGACAUUCUUCGGAGUGGCCUCGUUUCUAGGACGCUUGUCCGCUUUCCAAUACAAGUUCCACCUCGUGGACAUGACUUUUUAUUAUCUGGCCUCAAAUCAGGUAGGACUACCCGCUGAACUUAAGCAUAUCAAUAACGGAGGA